GCAGGGUAGUGUGGAGGGUAGUAUGUAGUGUGUAGUGUAGUAUGUAGUGUGCAGUGUAGUAUGUAGUGUAGUAUGUAGUGUGUAGUGUAGUAUGUAGUGUGUAGUGUAGUAUGUAGUGUGGAGGGUAGUAUGUAGUGUGCAGGGUAGUGUGUGUUGUGCAGGGUAGUGUGUAGUGUACUAUGUAGUGUGCAGGGAAGUGUGUAGUGUGCAGGGAAGUGUGUAGUGUAGUGUGUGUUGUGUAGUGUACUAUGUAGUGUGCAGGAUAGUGUGUAGUGUAAUAUGUAGUGUGCAGAUUAGUGUGUAGUGUGCAGGGUAGUGUGUAGUGUAGUAUGUAGUGUGCAGAUUAGUGUGUAGUGUGCAGAGUAGUGUGUAGUGUAGUAUGUAGUGUUCAGGGAAGUGUGUACUGUGUAGGGUAGUGUGUGUUGUGCAGGGUAGUGUGUAGUGUGUAGGGUAGUAUGUAG
ensembl:lncRNA